GCAAAUACUAUAAUGCUUCAUAAGUGCUUGUUGAGUGACUAGCCUUCCCCUUUUUCUAGUCUGUUUAGUGAUUCUCCUUCUCACUCUCACUGGCACUGUUGUCUAGGCCUACUUACUAUUCCUCACACAUGAUUCUUCAUUCUCCAAGCCCUAUGCUAGUAUUUCAGCUAAUUCCCAGGCCUGGGAUAUUCUCAUGUUCCAUUUCUACCUCAUGGGCUCCCUGAUCUCCUGGAUGACACAGCUCAGUCUCCACCUCUUUUCUACAUGAAGUAUUUCCCAUCCCCCUCAGCUGCUGGUGCCAGCUCUCCAAUGUCACACUGCCCUUGAAUUGUAUGUGACAUGCACAUGUGUCUGCCUCAUCCCCCUCUCCCUCCCUCCCUCUUUCCUUCUCACCCUCUCUCCCUGACUCUCUUCUCUCCCUCUCUAUCUCUGUCUCUCUCUCUCCUUCUCUCUGUCUCUCUCCCUCUCCCUCUCCCUCUCUCUCUCUCUCUCUCUCUCUCUCUCUCUCUCUCUCUCUCUCUCUCUCUCUCUCUCUCUCUCUCUCUCCUCUCUCUCUGUCUCUUUCUCUCUCCUCUCUCUCUCCCUCUCUAUCUUUUUUCUCUUUCUUCUCUCUCUCCCUUCCUCCCUCUCUCCCCCUUCUCUCUCUUUUAUCUCUCUCUCCCUCCUUCCCUUCCUCUCUCUCUCUCAAUUUCUCUCUCUGUCUCUCUCUUUGUCCCCACUCUCUUCUCUCUCUCUUUUUCUCUUUCUCUCUCCUCUCCCUCUCUCAAUUUCUCCCCCCAUUCUCUUUCUCUCCCCUCACUCCCUCCUUCUUUCCCUCUCUCCCUCUCUCCCUCCUUCCCUCUCAAUUUCUCUCUCCCCCCCUCUCUUCCUCUCUCCCCCUCUCUCUUUCCCUCUCUCUGUCUCUCUCUCUCUCCCUCUUUCUCUGUCUCUGUCUCUGUCUCUCUCUUUUCACACAAACACACACACACAAACACGUUUCUGUGUCUGUGUGUGUAUGUCGUCUCCCCAUCUAAAUACAA
rnacentral:lncRNA from 1 species